GCGGACGGGUGAGUAACGCGUGGGUAACCUGCCUCAUACAGGGGGAUAACAGUUGGAAACGGCUGCUAAUACCGCAUAAGCGCACAGUACCGCAUGGUACCGUGUGAAAAACUCCGGUGGUAUGAGAUGGACCCGCGUCUGAUUAGCUAGUUGGUGGGGUAACGGCCUACCAAGGCGACGAUCAGUAGCCGACCUGAGAGGGUGACCGGCCACAUUGGGACUGAGACACGGCCCAAACUCCUACGGGAGGCAGCAGUGGGGAAUAUUGCACAAUGGGGGAAACCCUGAUGCAGCGACGCCGCGUGAGCGAUGAAGUAUUUCGGUAUGUAAAGCUCUAUCAGCAGGGAAGAAAAUGACGGUACCUGACUAAGAAGCCCCGGCUAACUACGUGCCAGCAGCCGCGGUAAUACGUAGGGGGCAAGCGUUAUCCGGAUUUACUGGGUGUAAAGGGAGCGUAGACGGCAUGGCAAGCCAGAUGUGAAAGCCCGGGGCUCAACCCCGGGACUGCAUUUGGAACUGUCAGGCUAGAGUGUCGGAGAGGAAAGCGGAAUUCCUAGUGUAGCGGUGAAAUGCGUAGAUAUUAGGAGGAACACCAGUGGCGAAGGCGGCUUUCUGGACG
rnacentral:rRNA from 1 species